GUCGAGAAUCUUUCACAAUGGGGGCAACCCUGAUGGAGCGACGCCGCGUGGAGGAUAAGGUCUUCGGAUUGUAAACUCCUGUCAUGCGUGAACAAGGUUGCUUGGUUAAUACCUGGGCAAAUUGAUGGUAACGCAAGAGGAAGAGACGGCUAACUCUGUGCCAGCAGCCGCGGUAAUACAGAGGUCUCAAGCGUUGUUCGGAAUCACUGGGCGUAAAGGGUGCGUAGGUGGCGUGGUAAGUCAGAUGUGAAAGCCCGGGGCUCAACCUCGGAACUGCAUCCGAUACCGCCAUGCUAGAGUACUGGAGAGGUGACUAGAAUUCUCGGUGUAGCAGUGAAAUGCGUAGAUAUCGAGAGGAAUACCAAAGGCGUAGGCAGGUCACUGGACAGUUACUGACACUGAGGCACGAAGGCCAGGGGAGCGAACGGGAUUAGAUACCCCAGUAGUCC
rnacentral:rRNA from 1 species